AAUUUCUAGAGAGAAAUUAUGACUCCCUUGAAUGUUUAUUUUUACAUUUUAGAUCUAUAAAUCAGUGAUCCAAAAAAUGUAAAAAACACGCAUACACUUGGGCAUUAUGCUUUUAUAAUUUCUUGGACCACCAUUGUUUGGUAAGUGGUCUCAGUCACUCUAAGCUACCGUUAGAAAAUACUUUUCCUAUUCCAAAACUUCACCAAUCCUGCUCAUCCAAAAUGUGGGUGUCUCUGUCUUGUUUUUCAUUCUUUUUGCACGAAGCUCUUUUGUUUUGUUUUGUUUUGUUAUUUUCUCAUGGCCCGCUGCUAAAACAAUAAAAAGCCUAAAAUACUCCCUCAGUCGUACUCAAAAGACACAGACUAACCAUAAAAAAAAAAACAAAAAACUCACUGUUUAAGCGCACAUGGCCAUGGGUCCAUACCACACAGACCUUUCUAUUUUUUAUUAUAUUUUUAUAAAGCAUCUUUGACCUUUUGUGGAAAAUAAAAGACUGAUGACCAUAGUUAUUUUAUCCUAGCUAGCUCAUUAAGUGCAUGCAAAAGUCCUUUAAAAUAUUUUUCACCAAAAUACACCAUUCACCAAAAUACACAAAAAUCUCUCCAUCUGGUGAAUCAUUUUUCAAAAUAUUUUACAUCUAAAUAUAGAUGUUACUGUAGCAACAUCUAUAUCAUUUUUUAUUAGAAUACCUUCCGUCCGGAGCUGGCAUAAACCAACUCUUUUACACCACCAAUAAUAUAGUGCCACAUCAGCUUUUUAAUGAAAAGGCAAUACAUUCUAAUACACUCAAUCACAGCUCACAUAAACCUUCAAUCCUCAAUCAAACUACACGAUAGUCUCAAAUAAACCCCAAAUCAGAUUCCUCCUCUCCUCUUAGCAUCGGAGUUCCACCUCGCCGCUGCACACGUCGUCUCUGGAGCUGGCGCCGCCGCACCGAACUCAAGGAAGUGUUCAAGACUCAAGAGAGCCAUUCUACAGCCUGGACCACCUCAAAGUUUUGCACUACAUAAUGUUCAGGAAGUUAUAAAACCUCAAGUCUCAACCCAAACAAGUGUUGUUGGAAGUAGUGGAGUUGGUAGAUAUGGAAAAGGAAUUGGAACUAGUGCUGGAAAAGGAAGAGCUGGAAAUUGAGCUAGAAAAGAUUGAAGGGUAGUAGCAGUGUUAGUUUUGUAGGACCUUUUAUAUAUUAGGACCUUUGAUUGUUUGAACCUUUUAUGGUUACUAUUUUGUACAACUGUUCAUAAGCUUAUUUGAUGGUGUUAAUGGACAAAAGUAACCUAUUUUAUGUUGAUCUUAGGUAGGACCUUUGGUUAAGCUUAUAUGAUGGUGAUACUGGACAUAAGUAUCCUAUUUUUUGUUGGAUAAUAGUUUACAAAACCUUUAUGUUAACAACUAAGUAUUAAAGCAACUCGACUAAA